GGAUGCUCUCAGGUCCUUCCGGCACCAUCUACCCUUUUGCCUGGCUGGACACACUCCCAGGACCUGGUGGCUCCCUAUUGCAGGCACUCUAAAAAAACAUGUCUAGCCCCGGGUCCAGACAGGCUCACAGCACUAAUGUAGCUUUUCCAUUUUUCCUGGAAACUUCUAUAGCUGCAGCCUGGAAAGCAUCCAAAAGUUUCCCCGAACUAAAGAUAACAACAACAACAAUAAGUUUUUAAACAUUUAGAGAGGCGAUGGAAGAGAGACCCUAAGGCAAAUGUCCCUGUUGAUUACUGCUCAGCAGAACAGAUUCCGACGGUAGGGACAGAAAAGGGAGGAAGUUUCCAGGUCAAUUUAAACAUUCACAUUGCUUUUUUCAAAGACAGUUUCAAAACAGUCGACCUCCCUGGGGCAAUUUAAAAAAAAAAAAAUCUAUCCAGAAGGCAAAAGCUUCGCCCUUUCUCUCCUCCCUCAAUCUGGAAAGUUUUCUCAGCAGAGGCCAAGCGCAUUCCUGAGUUCUGGCUCAGGGAAGGACUUUCCCAACCUUCCAACAUUCCCGGCCCUCGCUCACCCUGCUGACCUACCAAGAGCUCCGCUUGCUCCACCCCAAGCAGCUGCAUUCCAGCUGUGGAGUUCUUAGGAAACUGCCAGGAGGCAGAGGGCUGCAAGAAUAGUGGCAGUGGCCUGCUGCCUGGCUCCAUGCCGGCUGGUGGUUCUGGAUUUUGAGACUCUGUGCCUUUUCACUAGGACUGACGGCCACCCAGACACACCGCAACAAUGAAUAGCCGUGGGGAUGAUUUGGGAGUCCAUCCUCAUCUACAGCCCUGCUAUCCCAAAUGUGCUCCAUCUUAGCAGCUAAGCAGGGUUGGGCCUCGUCAGGACAAGGAUGAGAGACUCCAUUCUCCGAAGAGAGGUGCCUUCUGCAGUCUUCCAUCAACUCCAGGGCCUGAAAGAACCUGUCCUCUAUCUUUGUUGCCCAAGCUGAUGUCAUGUUCUAAGGGACUGGAUUUGCUAAGCUGCAACAAGAUGCCUCUUCAGAAGGACCCAGAUUGCCUGCAGUGUGAGGCGGGGACCUGAGAAACAAGGCAAGGACCGGCAACUACUCUCCCUAAGAUGGAGGCAGCAUGAUGUAAGCGGCUGGCUAAAAUAUCUGGCAUGCUUGCAGUUUUAAGUUGCCAGCUAAAUAUUAUUAAAAAGAUAAAAUACACGCAAA